UCGUAUCUCCGAGGAGGGGGUCCGGUCGCGCCCUGCUCCGGCCCAACCGGCCGUGCAGCGGGUUCCCGUCCCCUACUCGCAACCCAACAAACCCUGUGCUCCUUCACGGCCAGAGGGUGCCGCCGGCGAAAGCUGCGUGUGUGCCCGAAGCCGCAUUAAACAAACCCCAGUUCAAAAGAAUGUCAAGCGGACUCUGUGCCGCCUACAAUUGAAA
rnacentral:misc_RNA from 1 species